AACGCACAUUGCGCCCGCCAGUAUUCUGGCGGGCAUGCCUGUUCGAGCGUCAUUUGUACCUUCAAGCUUUGCUUGGUGUUGGGUGUUUGUCUCGCCUCUGCGUGUAGACUCGCCUUAAAACAAUUGGCAGCCGGCGUAUUGAUUUCGGAGCGCAGUACAUCUCGCGCUUUGCACUCAUAACGACGACGUCCAAAAGUACAUUUUUACACUCUUGACCUCGGAUCAGGUAGGGAUACCCGCUGAACUUAA
rnacentral:misc_RNA from 1 species